UGAAUACGAGACGCUAAGGCGUCGAAGUAGUGUAUGUCAUACUUCCAAGAAAAGCUUGCACUGUCAUAGAUAAAAAACGCCUGUACCAUAACCGACACAGGUGGGUAGGUAGAGUAUACUAAGGGGCGCGAGAUAACUCUCUCUAAGGAACUCGGCAAAAUAACUCCGUAACUUCGGGAGAAGGAGUGCCUUAUUCGUAAGGUUGCAAUAACAAGAUCCAAGCAACUGUUUAUCAAAAACACAGGUCUCCGCUAAGUCGUAAGACGAUGUAUGGGGGCUGACGCCUGCCCAGUGCCAGAAGGUUAAAGAAGUUGGUUAGCAAUUGCGAAGCUGAUAACUGAAGCCCUGGUGAACGGCGGCCGUAACAAUAACGGUCCUAAGGUAGCGAAAUUCCUUGUCGGGUAAGUUCCGACCCGCACGAAAGGCGUAAUGAUUUGGAUACUGUCUCGGAGAGGGGCUCGGUGAAAUAGACUUGUCUGUGAAGAUGCGGACUACCUGCACCAGGACAGAAAGACCCUAUGAAGCUUUACUGUAACUUGAAAUUGAAAUUGGACUUUAUUCGCGCAGUAUAGGUGGGAGGCGUUGAUUAUAAUCUUGUGGGAUUAUUGGAGCCAUCAGUGAGAUACCACUCUUGUAAUGUUAGAUUUCUAACUUUGAAUCAUUAUCUGGUCAAAGAACAGUUUCAGGCGGGCAGUUUGACUGGGGCGGUCGCCUCCUAAACGGUAACGGAGGCGUACAAAGGUUUCCUCUGAACGGUUAGAAAUCGUAUCUAGAGUGUAAAGGCAUAAGGAAGCUUGACUGUGAGACCUACAAGUCGAGCAGGGACGAAAGUCGGUCUUAGUGAUCUGACGGUACUGAGUGGAAAGGCCGUCACUCAACGGAUAAAAGUUACUCUAGGAUAACAGGCUGAUCUCCCCCAAGAGUUCACAUCGACGGGGAGGUUUGGCACCUCGAUGUCGGCUCAUCGCAUCCUGGGGCGGAAGUACGUCCCAAGGGUUGGGCUGUUCGCCCAUGAAAGCGGUACGCGAGCUGGGUUCAGAACGUCGUGAGACAGUUCGGUCCAUAUCCGGUGUAGGCGUUAGAAUAUUGAGAGGAGCCUUCUUUAGUACGAGAGGACCGAGAAGGACAUACCUCUGGUGUACCAGUUAUCGUGCCAACGGUAAACGCUGGGUAGCUAUGUAUGGAGUGGAUAACCGCUGAAAGCAUCUAAGUGGGAGGCCCACCUCAAGAUAAGUAUUCUCAC
rnacentral:rRNA from 1 species